UAUAUAUAAGUGUUUUAAUUGCACGUAAAUUUUUGAAAUUUACAGAAAUAAUUUAUUUUAUUAUAUUUAA
rnacentral:tRNA from 1 species